GGGGGGAUGCCCGAGUGGUUAAAGGGGACGGGCUGUAAACCCGUUGGCGUUGCCUACACAGGUUCAAAUCCUGUUCCCCCCACCA
rnacentral:tRNA from 1 species